GAGCGUUCCGCGGGGGCGUCAAUGCCAAUGCAUCUUGUGCUGUAAUUUUUUAAAUUCUUUCAGGAGGAAAAAAAAAGAGACCAAAGCAAAGAGACAUCCGGGUUUGCGGCCGGGCCCACAUUUCUAAAACCUGUAAGGAAGUGGACAGAAAGUGGAGGAAACAAAGGUCGAACAGGGCCCUUCCCAGACCUCCCUGGACCCGCUUCCCCACUGGCUUCUCAGGAUCCCUGAGACAUUGUCAGAGUCUCUGUGAAAAUCUGGGCCUGGCGGUGACCCUGCCGUUUCCUGUUUCCCCAGGGGUGGCUCAGUGACGCCCAGGGCACUGACUCACCUUUCCCUGCCCCAGCUCGGUGGCAGCUAGGAGGACACCCAGCACCCUGUCUGCUCCACCCCUCUGUCCCCUGACCUGCACGUGUGAACCAGAUGAAAAGACCUCAGUCAGAACUCUGCCACUGAAAGCAAGUGCAUUCUACUGAACAACUACUUUCUGGCAAGACUGAGGAGUAUCAACUCAAGCCACAGCAUAUUUAUUGAUUUCCCACUGAAAAUAAGGCUUCAGACUUGAGGGAAAUAAUCACUGCCACAUAUGUUUACCCUGUGAGGGACCAGAAUGGCUAACUUCCCUGUGCACUGCAGGCGGCUCUGGGCUGCCGGAAGUCAUGUGAGCAAAUCCUGCCCUGAAGGAGAGGUCACUGGGCCCCCAGCACCUACCACACUCCGAGCGGUGCAUGACGCACUGCUGCCCUUGCUGGGGAAAUGACUGGGAACAAGAUGGCCCUGGGGUGCCCUCUGGACGAUUACUCCCUGCUUUUGGCCUUGGGGAAUAGAAUCCAAGGGUGCAGUAGAAGCAAGGGAAGCUGCAGCCCCGGGCAGUGACAAUCCAAGAGUCAACAGCCCCAGACCGCAAGCACCAGCCAGGAACUUCCCUGCCUCAGCCUUAGAGGGAGCCACUCACCCUCCUGGUUCAAGGGGGCAGCUCUGCAUCAGGAAUAUGUGUACCUCAGAAGGGGACAUGAAUAUCUAGAAACAGC
ensembl:lncRNA